rnacentral:lncRNA from 1 species
AACUCGAAUGGUGGAGAUGGAAAAGAUGAUUAAAAUGAUGGAAUAUUACAGAGAGAGAUAUGAAAAAGAGAUGGCCCGAAUGGUCAAUGUUCAAAUGAAAGAGGAAACAAGACAAGAGGAGGUCAACUUGGAUGUCAAAGAUAAAAAAAAUGUGUUGGAGGACAAGCAAAAAAUUGAAGAUGUGGAACAAGAGAGAGCUCAAAAGAAAACAAACAGAGAUAAUGAGAAACCAGUGAAGGAAGACCAAAACUGGGUGGAAGAGGAAAGUAAUGUUAAAGACAUGGGACAUGCAGAUGAAAAGACAGAAGGUGAAAGUAAGGUAUUGGAGACGGGGAAAGAAGGUGAUCAGACUGUGGAAAAGGAGUUUCUGAAAGACCAAGUACAGAUAAAGCCCUCUUCUAAGGAAGUUGUAGACUGGACAGACGUCAAGGAAGCAGAGAUUAAAGAGGAGAUCCACAAUGAUGUGUGUGAGGAACAUCAGGACAUUACAGUGACCAAAUCUGUUUUGCGGGACUUUAAAAAUGAAGACAGUGUCACCCUGAAGGACUCUAAGACCAACUCUGCAAACUUUCCUCUCAAAGUUUCCUCUCUUGAUGAAGCCACAGGAGCAACAAACACGAAGGUUGAGACUAAAGAGCUGAUCCAAAAUGAUGUGGCUGAGUACCAACAGGACAUACCUGUGACUGAAUCUAUUUUUAGUGACCCAAAAAUUGAGGAUAAUGAUAUUUCGCUUAAGGACACUAAGACCAACUCUGCAUGUUUCCAGGAGAUUACAGUUGGCCAACAAACACUGGAAGAGAGAAAUGUGAAGGACAAAGGGCAAAAUAGACUAGAAGAAGAGAGAAAGAAGAUGGAGGACCAAGAAAAGAAAUGGGUGGAAGAGGAAAUAAGAAAGGGAGAGAUGAUCAUAAUGAAGAAGCAAAAGAAGAGAGAGGAAGAGAACAGAAGGGUGGAGGACGAAAGAAAGGAAGAGGCAGUGAGGUUGGAGAUGAACAGAGAGAGA